GAUGAACGCUGGCGGCGUGCUUAACACAUGCAAGUCGAACGGGAGUAUUGAAGAAGCUUGCUUUAGAGAUACUUUAGUGGCGGACGGGUGAGUAACGCGUGAGGAGCUGUCCUAUGCAGGGGGACAACAGCUGGAAACGGCUGCUAAUACCCCAUAAGCCGAGAGGUUAAAAGGAUCAAUCCGGCAGAGGAGGUACUCGCGUCCUAUCAGCUAGUAGGUGAGGUAACGGCUCACCUAGGCGAAGACGGGUAGCCGGCCUGAGAGGGCGAACGGCCACACUGGAACUGAGAUACGGUCCAGACUCCUACGGGAGGCAGCAGUGGGGAAUAUUGGGCAAUGGGGGAAACCCUGACCCAGCGACGCCGCGUGGGUGAAGAAAUCCUUCGGGAUGUAAAGCCCUGUUGUAUGGGAAGAGCGGAAGACGGUACCAUACGAGGAAGCCCCGGAAACUACGUGCCAGCAGCCGCGGUAAGCACGAGAGUA
rnacentral:rRNA from 1 species